GGGCCCGCACAAGCGGUGGAGCAUGUGGUUUAAUUCGAUGAUACGCGAGGAACCUUACCAGGGUUUAAAUGCAGAACGACAGGGGUGGAAACACCCCCUUCUUCGGACGGACUGCAAGGUGCUGCAUGGUUGUCGUCAGCUCGUGCUGUGAAGUGUCGGGUUAAGUCCCAUAACGAGCGCAACCCUUGUCCUUAGUUGCCAGCACAUUAUGGUGGGAACUCUAAGGGGACUGCCGGUGAUAAACCGGAGGAAGGUGAGGACGACGUCAAGUCAUCAUGGCCCUUACGAGUAGGGCUACACACGUGCUACAAUGGGGAAUACAGACGGACGCUAAGCCGCGAGGUGGUGCU
rnacentral:rRNA from 1 species